UGAUGUCAAGCCCUCAAGAAUGCACUGUGAAAUAGAGUCAACGCUGGCAUGAAAUGUGUGCAGGUUCAGGCGCAGAGUCUCUUGUGCAUCACUGACUGAGGACUGCAGAGGUUCGACAGCACCUGGAUAUGCAAUCUGAUAAACAACAGGACUGAUGCUCUCUGACCUGCCAGCCGUCUCUCCCGGACAUUCCUCCACAGCAGAUCCCAAGCCUUGGACGUGGAGUCCCGCAGCUGCUCGCUGAUCGACCGCCGCAGCUGCAGCUUGGCAGACCUUCGCUGGGUUGUCAUUGCGGUGCAGCCGGACGCAUAUUCCCUGACAACGAAACCAGCGCUCCGUCAACAAGCCGUUAUUCCUCAAUCCCUCCUAUUCCCACUGUGGAUAGCCCCGGCUGGGACAGUGCGCACCCGGCGUCCGCUGCUGCCGCUUGCGUCUGGCUGCCGCAAUGGUCGUUACCGCUCCACCUGGUAUAAAAGCUCCUCUCGCGCUGCGUCACCUUCCUGCACCACCGAAGGCGGAUGAGGAUUUGUACUCACUAAUACUGAGUUAAUUCAUCCAGCAUUUCUGCCCUCCUCACCCCCCUGCCAGACUCAUCUACAGCAGCCGGUAGGGCGAAGGUGCAGCAGUGUUUCAGCAUAACUUCUGCAUGUGAGCCUGGACCUCUGACAUGACGAGCCAGAUGUGAGAGGCGGUUUUCCCCCUCCCCAUGAAGAGGAGUGAACUCAACAGCUACUGACAACCUGAAGUGAAAGUGCACAAACAUCAACUGUCUGAGCUGCCUCUCUUUUUGUGAGUUCACCCGUCUGACAGCAGGUCAAGGGUUUUGGGAAUUUCAUUCUGAGCUCUGAGUUACUCCCGUGUUAUCCCCGGAAUGCCAGACAGAGUGACCAGACCAGGCCAGGACGCUCCUCAGCUGCCGUCCGCCUGACACCAUCGGAUGUCCUGUUUGUGGGGUUGAGUUCCAAGUCAGCACGGAUCCAUGAGUAGAGACCUGAUUCGACAUUUCAGCCUGUCGAAACACGCUUGACAUCCCAACUAGUCAGCAGAAUCCUGCACUUAUCUGGACACCGAAUACCACUUUACUGGUUGACUGUCACAAAUGGGGCAAUGAAUUAUCGCUUGUGGACAAUUUAAUCUUCAUCCAAAAUGUGAUUUCUGCUGUUGGAUUGGUUCCCCAUCAAAUAUACAGUAUACCGCACACAUGUUGAAGGGGAAAGUUUUUCAAGGCUGGAGUUCAUGGCCCUACUUUUCCUCCCUUGCCCUGCCAUGGCCUGGUGUCAGAUGACAGUAAAGCUGUAGAGAGACUGAUUUAUAUUCCUGCGUUACACUGCUGAGACCAGGGUGAGAUUCAUGGCGGGCACUGGCAGUCAGCAGUGAUGAGAGGGAAAGUGGUUUAGAACCAGAGAAUGAUGAACUUUGAGUAGCUUAGUGAAGACGAAAUUAAAAAAGGAAGGAACUGAGGAGCGGAGGGGAGAUGAAGGCAGAGUCGAUUGACAAGACCAUAAAACAUAUAGAAGACCCGAUGUAAGAAGAAAAAGAAAGAAAACACACUAAAUGACACACAUGGAAUAAAACCUUCUGAUGAAAUUUCCUUUUCUGUUUGGUUUGCUUCUAAUAAAACAGCUUAUGGGAUUCACGAGCAUUGUAUUUGCAAAUAGAUGAUGAAAGUCACACGGCAUGUUUCUUUCACAUGUAAUUAUACUCAAAAAUGAAAGGGAGGAGACUGGGAAAAAUGAGUCAGUAUUUCUGGUGUUUGACAGACACACACUGCAAA